rnacentral:rRNA from 1 species
AACGUACGCUGGCGGCACGCCUAACACAUGCAAGUCGAGCGAGGUAGCAAUACCUAGCGGCAGACGGGUGCGUAACAUGUGGGAAUCUGCCUUUUGGUUCGGAACAACACGGGGAAACCUGUGCUAAUACCGGAUAAGUCCUUACGGAGAAAGUUUUAAUGCCAAAAGAUGAGCCCGCAUUUGAUUAGCUAGUUGGUGAGGUAAAAGCUCACCAAGGCGAUAAUCAAUAGCUGAUUUGAGAGGAUGAUCAGCCACACUGGGACUGAGAUACGGCCCAGACUCCUACGGGAGGCAGCAGUGGGGAAUCUUGCACAAUGGGCGAAAGCCUGAUGCAGCGAUGCCGCGUGAGUGAAGAAGGCCUUUGGGUUGUAAAGCUCUUUUGUCGGGAAAGAUAAUGACUGUACCCGAAGAAUAAGGUCCGGCUAACUUCGUGCCAGCAGCCGCGGUAAUACGAAGGGACCUAGCGUAGUUCGGAAUUACUGGGCGUAAAGAGUAUGUAGGCGGCUAGAUAAGUUAAUUGUGAAAGCCCAAAGCUUAACUUUGGAAUUGCAAUUAAAACUAUUUAGCUGGAGUAUGAUAGAGGAAAGCGGAAUACAUAGUGUAGAGGUGAAAUUCGUAGAUAUUAUGUAGAACACCAGUUGCGAAGGCGGCUUUCUGGAUCAUUACUGACGCUGAGAUACGAAAGUAUGGGUAGCGAAGAGGAUUAGAUACCCUCGUAGUCCAUACCAUAAACGAUGAUUAUUAGAUGUGGGGAAUUAUUUCUCUGUAUCAUAGCUAACGCGUUAAAUAAUCCGCCUGGGGAGUACGACCGCAAGGUUAAAACUCAAAUGAAUUGACGGGGACCCGCACAAGCGGUGGAGCAUGUGGUUUAAUUCGAAGCAACGCGCAGAACCUUACCAACCCUUGACAUGUUCGUCGCGAGACUAAGAAAUUAGUCU